AACUUUUAACAACGGAUCUCUUGGCUCUCGCAUCGAUGAAGAACGCAGCGAAAUGCGAUAAGUAAUGUGAAUUGCAGAAUUCAGUGAUUCAUCGAAUCUUUGAACGCACCUUGCGCUCUCUGGUAUUCCGGGGAGCACACCUGUUCGAGUGUCAUU
rnacentral:rRNA from 1 species